CCUUAUCAUUCCCGCGUCCAGC
rnacentral:miRNA from 14 species